rnacentral:lncRNA from 10 species
GCCAUCUUUAGCCGAACUAAGGAAAAGUCCUGCAACAUUUUUAGCGCCCAACGUGGAGGUCGAGAAACGGCCGUCAAACUCCAAAUGGUGAUGCAACUGGAACCUCUGAUGAUGGCCCCUUCUGCCGGGAACCCUUAAAUAGGCCUCUGAUGGAGCCCUGACUGCCAUUUCCCCCAAACAGCACCACCUAUCAGCAGGAAUCAGUUAAGAUCAGUCCUCGU